AUCUUACCAGGUCCAGACAUAGCGAGGAUUGACAGAUUGAUAGCUCUUUCUUGAUUCUAUGGGUAUUUUGGUGGUGCAUGGCCGUUCUUAGUUCGUGGAGUGAUUCGUCUGGUUAAUUCCGUUAAACGAACGAGACCUCAGCCUGCUAAAUAGUUGCUCGCCUUUUCUAUAAGACUUGACAACUUCUUAGAGGGACUUUGUGUGCAACCACAAGGAAGUUUGAGGCAAUAACAGGUCUGUGAUGCCCUUAGAUGUCCUGGGCCGCACGCGCGCUACACUGAUAAGUUCAAAGAGUAUAUUCAUUUAAUCCUUCUCUGGAAAGAGUGGGUAAUCUUCUUAAAGCUUAUCGUGAUGGGGAUAGAUGAUUGCAAUUAUUCAUCUUGAACGAGGAAUUCCUAGUAAGCGUAAGUCAUCAGCUUACGUUGAUUACGUCCCUGCCCCUUGUACACACCGCCC
rnacentral:rRNA from 1 species